CCUACGGGGGACAGCAGUGAGGAAUAUUGGUCAAUGGACGCGAGCCUGAACCAGCCAAGUAGCGUGAAGGAAGACGGCCCUACGGGUUGUAAACUGCUUUUAUAAAGGAAUAAAGUGAGACACGUGUGCCGUGUUGAAAGUAGUGUAUGAAUAAGGAUCGGCUAACUCCGUGCCAGCAGCCGCGGUAAUACGGAGGAUCCGAGCGUUAUCCGGAUUUAUUGGGUUUAAAGGGAGCGUAGAUGGGUCGUUAAGUCAGUUGUGAAAGUUUGCGGCUCAACCGUAAAAUUGCCAUUGAUACUGGCAGUCUUGAGUUCAGUUGCGGUAGGCGUAAUUCUUGGUGUAGCGGUGAAAUGCUU
rnacentral:rRNA from 1 species